rnacentral:rRNA from 1 species
AGUGAACGCUGGCGGCAGGCCUAACACAUGCAAGUCGAACGGCAGCACAGUAAGAGCUUGCUCUUACGGGUGGCGAGUGGCGGACGGGUGAGGAAUACAUCGGAAUCUACUUUUUCGUGGGGGAUAACGUAGGGAAACUUACGCUAAUACCGCAUACGACCUACGGGUGAAAGCAGGGGAUCUUCGGACCUUGCGCGAUUGAAUGAGCCGAUGUCGGAUUAGCCAGUUGGCGGGGUAAAGGCCCACCAAGGCGACGAUCCGUAGCUGGUCUGAGAGGAUGAUCAGCCACACUGGAACUGAGACACGGUCCAGACUCCUACGGGAGGCAGCAGUGGGGAAUAUUGGACAAUGGGCGCAAGCCUGAUCCAGCCAUACCGCGUGGGUGAAGAAGGCCUUCGGGUUGUAAAGCCCUUUUGUUGGGAAAGAAAAGCAGCAGGUUAAUACCCCGCUGUUCUGACGGUACCCAAAGAAUAAGCACCGGCUAACUUCGUG